AUUGAACGCUGGCGGCAGGCCUAACACAUGCAAGUCGAGCGGUAGCACAGAGAGCUUGCUCUCGGGUGACGAGCGGCGGACGGGUGAGUAAUGUCUGGGAAACUGCCCGAUGGAGGGGGAUAACUACUGGAAACGGUAGCUAAUACCGCAUAACGUCGCAAGACCAAAGAGGGGGACCUUCGGGCCUCUUGCCAUCGGAUGUGCCCAGAUGGGAUUAGCUAGUAGGUGGGGUAACGGCUCACCUAGGCGACGAUCCCUGGCUGGUCUGAGAGGAUGACCAGCCACACUGGAACUGAGACACGGUCCAGACUCCUACGGGAGGCAACAGUGGGGAAUAUUGCACAAUGGGCGCAAGCCUGAUGCAGCCAUGCCGCGUGUAUGAAGAAGGCCUUCGGGUUGUAAAGUACUUUCGGCGGGGAGGAAGGCGAUAAGGUUAAUAACCUUGUCGAUUGACGUUACCCGCAGAAGAAGCACCGGCUAACUCCGUGCCAGCAGCCGCCGUAA
rnacentral:rRNA from 1 species